AACGUAGGUUCCGAGCGUUAUCCGGAUUUACUGGGCGUAAAGCGCGUUCAGGCGGUUUGGCAAGUCGGGCAUGAAAUCUCUCGGCUCAACCGGGAGAGGUUGUCCGAUACUGCUGGACUUGAGGGCAGUAGAGGGUGGUGGAAUUCCGGGUGUAGUGGUGAAAUGCGUAGAUAUCCGGAGGAACACCAGUGGCGAAAGCGGCCACCUGGACUGUACCUGACGCUCAAACGCGAAAGCGUGGGGAUCAAACAGG
rnacentral:rRNA from 1 species